rnacentral:rRNA from 1 species
GACGAACGCUGGCGGCGUGCUUAACACAUGCAAGUCGAGCGGUAAGGCCCUUUCGGGGGUACACGAGCGGCGAACGGGUGAGUAACACGUGGGUGACCUGCCCUCAGCUCUGGGAUAAGCCUGGGAAACCGGGUCUAAUACCGGAUAUGACUCCACGACGCAUGUUGUGGGGUGGAAAGCCUUGUGCGGCUGAGGAUGGGCCCGCGGCCUAUCAGCUUGUUGGUGGGGUGANGGGCCUACCAAGGCGACGACGGGUAGCCGGCCUGAGAGGGCGACCGGCCACACUGGGACUGAGACACGGCCCAGACUCCUACGGGAGGCAGCAGUGGGGAAUCUUGCGCAAUGGGCGAAAGCCUGACGCAGCGACGCCGCGUGAGGGAUGACGGCCUGGU